AUGACUCGAAAGUCAGAGGAAGAUUUUCAGCCCUUCUCCCUCCUGGCCAAGCAGAGUUGUGGUUGUUCCCUGGUCCAGGCAGCACUGCCUGAGCUGCCCUCGGUGUCAGCAAACCUGGGAGAAACCUUCCAGAUCACCUGCUCCGGGCUUAGCAGCUACAGCAAUGUUGGCUGGUACCAGCAGAAGACACCUGGCAGUGCCCCUGUCGCUGUGAUCUAUAGCAACACCAACAGACCGACGGACAUCUCUUCACGAUUCUCCGGAUCCUUGUCCGGCACCACGGGUUCCCUGGUCCAGGCAGCACUGACCCAGCCGUCCUCAGUGUCAGCGAACCCAGGAGAAACCGUCCAGAUCACCUGCUCCGGGGUUAGCAGCGGCAGUGCUGUUGGCUGGUACCAGCAGAAGACACCUGGCAGUGGCCCUGUCACUGUGAUCUACUGGAAUGACAAGAGACCCUCGGGCAUCCCUUCUUGA